CUUCAUCUUUAUCCAGACAAUAGGAAGCAGACCACCGAAAAUCCCGCGAGAACAGUCGUGGGUUUAAGACUUCAAGUAAAACCCAUACCCUACCCUUACCCUACCCAGGAGAGAGAAAGAGAGGGAGCACCAGCUGCUGCUGCGAGAGUCGGCAACCACCGUUGCCGGCGUUCAUCCGUUACCGUCUUGGUUGCACCUAUGGAAUGUGGCUUAAUUGGUGUUGGAAUGUCACCUGCUUUCCGGAGGCUCUUGUUGCCAAUUUCCCAAAAUCCCUCGCUUCGAUUGCAGAACAAGCUUAGUCCAGUUUCCAGGUCGCUAUCGCUUCAAUUAAAGCCUUUGUCUUGUGCUGCUUUGGAUGUGAUUGACUCGAAUCCCAUCAGUGAUUCGUGUCUCGAAAGUGCCCCAAACUCUGAGACUCAGCUUCGUCAAGUAAGAUUAGAUAAUGGCUAUUCACCUGACCAGGAAAUUGUAGGAAGCAAUGUGAAAACCAGGCCUCUAGUUUUCGAUACCAAAAAGAGGCUUAUGCAUUAUUCUGGGAUGCUUCGUACCUGUGUUUCGCUAAGGUCUUUGAAUGAGGGGAAGGCUAUUCAUGGACAGGUGAUAAAAGAAGGGAUUGAUCCGGAUUCACAUUUGUGGGUUUCAUUGGUUAAUGUUUAUGCAAAGUGUGGGGACUCCGGGUAUGCACGUAAAGUGCUUGAUGUGAUGCCUGAAAGAGACGUUGUGUCAUGGACUUCUUUAAUUCAGGGGUUUGUAGUCGAAGGUUCUGGUGUUGAUGCUGUUAAAUUGUUCUGUGAGAUGAAGAAAGAUGGUACAAAAGCAAAUGACUUUGCAUUGGCAACUGGGUUGAAAGCAUGUUCAUUGUGCUCCGAUUUAGGUUUUGGGAAACAGUUGCAUGCUGAAGCAGUGAAACUGGGGUUGUUAUUGGAUGCUUUUGUUGGUUCUGCUCUAGUUGGCCUUUAUGCAAAAUGUGGUGAUAUGGAACUUGCAGAUAGAGUGUUAUUUUGUAUGCCUGAGCAGGAUGUGGUAUCAUGGAAUGCACUGCUGAAUGGGUAUGCUCAGGAAGGCGACGGAAAAAAAGCUUUGGAAUUGUUCUGCAGAAUGACGGAAUCAGAAAUGAGGUUGAGCAAGUCCACCUUGUCCACUGUCCUCAAAGGUUGUGCAAACUCGGGAAAUUUGAGCGGAGGUCAGUUUUUGCAUUCUCUAGUUGUCAAAAUUGGGUUUCAGACAGAUGAAUUAUUGGGUUGCAAUCUCGUUGAUAUGUAUUCAAAGUGUGGGAUGGCAGUCGAUGCGGUAAAAGCAUUCAGGACGAUUGAAAAUCCUGAUGUAGUGGCCUGGAGUGCAAUUAUCUCAUGCCUUGAUCAACAAGGGCAAUGGCAAGAAGUGCCUCAGCUAUUUCGUGAAAUGAUAAGUACAAGCAUCUCACCAAAUAAAUUUACCCUUUCUAGUAUCAUUAGUGCUGCCACUGAUCUCGGAGACCUUCAUUUUGGUGAAAGUAUCCAUGCUUUUUCAUGGAAAUAUGGUUGUGAAGCUGAUAUUCCAGUCAGCAAUGCUCUAAUCACAAUGUAUAUGAAAAGUGGGCGUUUGCUAGAUGGUGCUCAGGUUUUUGAGGCAAUGACAAACCCUGAUUUGAUUUCAUGGAAUGCCCUUUUAUCUGGAGCACACAAUCAUGAAUUAUCUGACCUAGGGCCAAGAGUCUUCCACCAAAUGCUUGUCGAAGGUUUGAAGCCCAACAUGUACUCAUUCAUUAGUAUUUUAAGGUGUUGCUCUAGCCUUUUGGAUGUGGACCUUGGAAAACAAAUACAUUCCCAUAUUAUCAAAACUAACCUCGAUGAUAAUGACUUUGUUGGGACAGCUCUCAUUGACAUGUAUGCCAAAGGCAGGUUCGUGGAAGAUGCUGUGAAAGCUUUCAAUAGAUUGAGUAAUCGAGACCUCUUCACUUGGACAGUCAUCAUUACUGGUUAUGCCCAAACUGAUCAAGCAGAGGAAUCUGUUGCUUGCUUCAAUAAGAUGCAACAAGAAGGCGUGAAGCCAAACGAGUUCAGCAUUGCUGGCUGUUUGAGUGCUUGCUCCCGUACAGCUAUGCUGGAAAAUGGGCGGCAGCUCCACUCAAUGGUAAUUAAGAGUGGGCAUCUGGAAGAUUUGUUUGUUACUAGUGCACUUGUUGAUAUGUAUGCAAAAUGUGGGUGCAUAAGUGAUGCUGAGGAUAUCUUUGAGGGCUUGGUUUCACGAGAUACAGUGUCAUGGAAUAUUAUGGUGUGUGGAUAUUCCCAAUAUGGGCAAGGAGAGAAGGCUCUUGAAGCCUUUUCGACAAUGUUGGAUGAAGGUGCCAUACCAAAUGAGAUCACCUUCAUUGGUGUUCUUUCUGCAUGCAGCCACCUGGGUCUAGUCGAAGAAGGGAAAAAGCACUUCGACUCACUGAGCAAUGUUUUCGGGAUCACUCCUACAAUUGAGCAUUAUGCUUGUAUGGUUGAUAUUCUCGGCAGGGCUGGAAAGUUUAAUGAGAUUGAAACCUUUAUCGAGACAAAGGAACUAACACCAUAUGCCAUUAUUUGGGAGACUGUUCUUGGGGCUUGUAAGAUGCAUGGAAAUGUUGAAUUUGGUGAAACAGCAGCAAGAAGGCUUUUUGAGCUUAAACCUGAGAUGGAUUCAACAUAUAUCUUGCUAUCUAAUAUCUUUGCAGUCAAAGGCAGGUGGGACGAUGUUAGCAAAGUCAGGAAAUUAAUGCAGAGUCAGGGUGUUAAAAAAGAACCUGGUUGUAGCUGGGUUGAGGUUGAUGGUCAAGUCAACAUUUUUGUCUCUCAAGAUGGUACGCAUCCAAGAAUUGGGGAUAUUCAUUUGAAAUUGGAGGAACUAGGAGAAAAGCUAAAUUCAUUAGGUUAUAUACCGGAAACAGAAGACGUGUUUCAUAGAAUCACUGAAAGAGAAAAAAAAGAACAUCUCCAAUAUCACAGUGAAAGGUUAGCUCUUGGUUUUGCCCUUAUAAGUACCAGUCAUCCGAAAACUAUUCGGAUCUUUAAAAAUCUACGCAUCUGUGGAGACUGCCAUGACGUUAUGAAGCUUGUCUCCGAUGUCACAAAUCGGGAGAUAGUUGUUCGUGACAUCAGGCGGUUUCAUCAUUUUAAGAAUGGAACUUGCUCCUGUAAGGACUUCUGGUGAUAUGGCAUUAGAAGCUCUAUAUCUGGAUAGGGGUUCACCAACAGUGAAUUCUAAACACUUUCCUCGUUAUGAGCUGAGCCACAGUUUCAUACCAAAGGAACUCCGCCCUAAUCUUAUCAGAGUAUGCCCCGUUCAAAGUCCUUUUUGUCCUGAAGCGGCUGCUUUCAUGCUCCGCAUCUGCAUAUAUCAUAUCAAAUUCUUCUUGCCAGAAGGACUUCACAAUAGUUCUUGCUGUUGAGAGCUGCUUCGCUCCUGAUGAUCUUG